GUUCGUCUGUCUCGUCCCCCAGAUACAGACUGAAUACCCGAAUCCAGGUUCUUGUUUAUUUAGAUUAUUAUGUUGGCCAAACCUCUUACACUGAUUGUUCUGUUCAACCUAAGAUAAAACAAUUAUAAUCUAGGAUAUAAAUUCUCCCCGUCAACUAUAAAAAAGGAUGGAUUUAUGUUUAUUGCAAUACAAAUACACCCUUUUAAAAAUGUAUAACCUUGCCUACACUUUAUGAACAUCUACUUCGGACAUGGCUCCACGCAUUCGCCGGCUUCUUUGAAAACAAAUGCACAUGGCUCGCGUAGAAGUGCAUGGGGAAGGGUCGUCAACAAGUUGUUACGACAGUGUUGUGAAAUAUCUACUACGAAGCUGUAGGGGGCGCUGUGUAGAGAAAUGUGCAUGCCAAAACCAAGAAAACAGCGAAGAAAUGCCCGAAGUUGCAUAGUGGGCCUUUAAAACAACAAAUGCUUCAUAUUGGUGUAACGUUCUGUUAUUUGUUUGAUGAAAAAAUCUAAACUUAAUGAAACUAAUAGAUCGGUAAAGAAAUGCAAGUCUCGUGCAUUUAUAAUUGUAUCGCUGUGUUUUGAAUAGUCACCUACCAUAACCUCCAAGUGCAGCUGAGCCGAACGUCACAUCUUCGUGCAGUGAGUCCCGUUGUGACACCGAAUUCUGCGACCCACCGAAAAGUGUGACCCGAGGGGGCGCUGUUGAAUAAUGUGCAACUCGCGCUCCAGACAUCCACCAGCACGCAAUUUCCGGCGUGUGGGUGGAUGUUUCUGUCUGCAGCGGAAGUGCGUGUGGGUGGAUGUCUGGAGCGUGUGGGUGGAUGUCUGCAGCCAGACCCCUCUCGCAUGGGUAUACCCAGGCUACGGGGAUACUGAACGACGGGAAUCAAAGGGCUGAUCACCUGGAGAGGAGGUGCCAUUGCGGCAUGUUACGGAGAGAGCUGUUCGUCUGCAAUGACUGUGGUCCUGCGGUUGUUGCAGACGCUGGUGGCGGUCCUGUACUUGUCCAGGUUCUGAAUGGUGCGGCAGGGCGGAUCGCUGACCCUGGCUGCACAUCCAGAGAUCUUGGAGAGAACCUCCAGGUCUU